rnacentral:SRP_RNA from 1 species
GGCCGGGUCCCAUGCAAUGGGGCCGAUGGACAACGGGUCAGGACCGAGAGGUAGCAGCCCAACCAACGUGUCUCAGGUGCCGUGGCCCACCUGGCCCUC